GGGUCAGUAGGUUGGUCGUGCCACCGGUACGUACUGGUCUCAGUGAUUCCUCCUUCCUGAAGAACCGUAAUGCCAUUAAUUUGGUGUUGCGGGGAAACAGGACUGUUACUUUGAAAAAAUUAGAGUGUUUAAAGCAGGCUAACGCUUGAAUACAUUAGCAUGGAAUAAUGAAAUAGGACGAUCGAUCCUAUUUUGUUGGUUUCUAGGAUUGACGUA
rnacentral:rRNA from 1 species